UAACAAGGUCUCCGUUGGUGAACCAGCGGAGGGAUCAUUACUGAGUUUACGCUCUACAACCCUUUGUGAACAUACCUACAACUGUUGCUUCGGCGGGUAGGGUCCCCGUGACCCUCCCGGCCUCCCGCCCCCCCGGGCGGGUCGGCGCCCGCCGGAGGAUAACCAAACUCUGAUUUAACGACGUUUCUUCUGAGUGGUACAAGCAAAUAAUCAAAACUUUUAACAACGGAUCUCUUGGUUCUGGCAUCGAUGAAGAACGCAGCGAAAUGCGAUAAGUAAUGAGAAUUCAGUGAAUCAUCGAAUCUUUGAACGCACAUUGCGCCCGCCAGCAUUCUGGCGGGCAUGCCUGUUCGAGCGUCAUUUCAACCCUCAAGCUCUGCUUGGUGUUGGGGCCCUACAGCUGAUGUAGGCCCUCAAAGGUAGUGGCGGACCCUCCCGGAGCCUCCUUUGCGUAGUAACUUUACGUCUCGCACUGGGAUCCGGAGGCUCUUGCCGUAAAACCCCCCAAUUUUCCAAAGGUUGACCUCGGAUCAGGUAGGAAUACCCGC
rnacentral:rRNA from 1 species